GCCUGGAUAGCUCAGUUGGCAGAGCAUGAGACGCUUAAUCUCAGGGUCGUGAGUUUGAGCCCCAUGUUGGGCA